GCUCCCUUCAGCAGUGCAUAUACUAAAAUAGGAAUGAUAAAGAGAAGAUUAUCAUGGACCUGUGCAAGGAUGAUACACAAAUUUGUGGAGCGUUUCAUAUUUUU